rnacentral:lncRNA from 1 species
GCUCUUUCAAGGACUAUUCCAAGCGGCUUCUAUGAUUGCACCAGCGUUUGUUUCCCACCACGUCCUGAUUCCAAAUCCCUUGGCCAUUUCGUAGCCCACGGUUAAUGGUAUGCUUGAGUACACAACCAGGAUUAAGUGCAGAAAAAAGCUCAUCUAAAACCCUUAGUCUCUUGUUGUACAGAUGGCAGAUAAAGUUGACAGAGUGUGGUCUUUUCAGAGCACCCUGGCUAGCAAAUAUUUUGGCAUUUUCUGGAGCGUGACAACACGGGUAACCCUAUCAACCGACUCAAGAAGAAUGGAUUGUUACAUUCACCAUCAGCAGUAAGCAAUGCACCAUACUUGGUGAAGAAAUGUAAUACACUUGAUACAAAGUUAUGGAGUAUAACUGUUUAUGUCUGUUAAUGGUCUUCAAUGUCACAGGUACGCAAUAUCUUCAACUCACAUCUAGUAAAACCC